UUGACCUCAAAUCAGGUAGGACUACCCGCUGAACUUAAGCAUAUCAAUAAGCGGAGGAAAAGAAACUAACAAGGAUUCCCCUAGUAACUGCGAGUGAAGCGGGAAAAGCUCAAAUUUGAAAUCUGGCGGUUCCCUGGAUCCGUCCGAGUUGUAAUCUAGAGAAGUGCUACCUGUGCUGGACCGUGUAAAAGUCUCCUGGAAUGGAGCAUCACAGAGGGUGAGAAUCCCGUCUUUGACACGGACUGCCUGUGCGAUAUGGUGYGCUCUCGAAGAGUCGAGUUGUUUGGGAAUGCAGCUCAAAAUGGGUGGUAAAUGCCAUCUAAAGCUAAAUAUUGGCGAGAGACCGAUAGCGAACAAGUACCGUGAGGGAAAGAUGAAAAGAACUUUGGAAAGAGAGUUAAACAGUACGUGAAAUUGCUGAAAGGGAAACGCUUGAAGUCAGUCGCGUCGGCUGGAAAUCAGUCUUGCUUCUGCUUGACGUACUUUCUGGUCUGACGGGUCAGCAUCAGUUUUGACCUCCGGACAAAGUCAUUGGGAAUGUGGCAUCUCAGGAUGUGUUAUAGCCCGUUGUCGCAUGCGGAGAUUGGGAUUGAGGAGCUCAGCACGCCCGCAAGGGCCGGGUCUCUAAGACCACGUUCGUGCUUAGGAUGCUGGCAUAAUGGCUUUAAUCGACCCGUC
rnacentral:rRNA from 1 species